AUAUGGCCGCUCAGGAGCAAGGACGCAGAGGCUGGAGAGGAAAUAGAUAAGACACUCUCGUCGAAUAAGAACUGCUUCCUCGAUUUCCUUAUUUCCAGCGGGGCUUGAACGCACUGUGGUCUCUAAAGCCCUGUGAAUGAACACUGGCCCCCAAGGCCCAGCAUCCAACCAAAGGGUUUUAAUUCACUUUCUUUUGUUUGAUAGAAAGUCAGCAAUGAAAAGGUUUCCCUGGGGAAAGAAAUGGGAGCAUUUUGGAGGGGGCAAGGGUGACACGCUUUUAACAUUGGAGUAAAUUUCUCCAUCUGCAUCUGCUACAACCUGAAAAGAUUGCUUUCUUCUGGAAGAAUUCUAUUUCAGAAAACAAAGUAGACUCACCUUCACCCUGGGUCGGACCUGCAGGAGAAGGCGAUCUCAGGGCUUCCAGACGGGAUCCCUAUUUCCAGGCCUCCCCUCUUUCCUCCCUUCCCCGCCCCCUACCAUGCGGAGGCCCUGACGGUGGGCCCUCCCGGAGCUCCAGAAGCCAAAGUCCGCCCGUGGGGACCGCUUUCCUCUCCACUGCUCUCAAGUGAACCACCGGGACAGAGGUGACCCUCGUCCAAAGGCCUUCUAACUGCCCCCGCUGCCGCGUGAUACCGCCACAGGUCGGAGGCAGAGCUUUAAAAAGAAAGAAAUAGAGUUAAUGUGCGCUGCACACUUGAUCUUAAACCGGGGAUAUUAUCUGCGAACUCCUUAAGAGGCAGCAGCCGCUCCUCGCAGAACAAAGACUCAGUGUCUGAGCCCCAAAAGCUUCCAGGUAAAGUUUCAGUAGGAUAAAAGCAAGCUAAGCGUAAAAACACAGGUUUUUUUCCUCAGGUCCAGAAAAAUCAGAAGCCGUUUUUUGCUCCAGGUUCUAGCGUGGUGUUUGUCCUUGCACACCGUGUGUGUGUGUGUGGGGGGGGGGAUAAGAAUGACAAAAGCCCUCUGCCGCUCAUUCCUUUUAGCACCAGGGUGACGUCUUUUGGAGCAAGUCGUUUCCUUGGUUAGGAAAUCAAAUUUCACAUCUUAAAGAGGAGCGCAAAAGCACGAGGGUUCUUUUAACACUCAAACUGACUUCAUUCCCUGUUGGGAUUUCAGAGGGAUGGGAGGGAGGCCCAAGUUGUAAUUCAUCUUGAUUUGCUUCGUUGUCCUGCAGUUUGCAAACUAUAAUCCUGUAUAAUUUCAGGAACAAGCAGGUUUAGAAUUAAUGGGUCAAUAUUAUUUAAAACAAAACACGGGGAGCAUGACCUUUGCCUCAACUACAUAUUGCUCUACAAGACUCAGGAAACUGCACUCUAACCUCUCACCCCCUGGGCUCUUUGAGAAACUGAAGGGCUAUAUUUAUUAGAAAUGGUCUUUGUUUCGUUUAAUGUCUCCAAAGGACUUGGGAAUAAUAAUGCAAUAGAACAUGAGGGGUCUCUCUACUUAAACUUUAAAGAUAUAUGCAAAGGUCUAAACAUUUUCAACUGGGGAUGUUUCUUUGUAAGUUUACGGUAGAUGUACUUCUCCAAGGAGGAAUGGACAUCAGCUGUGCGUGUACACACACACACUUUCCGCCAGAACCUCCACUGGAGGUGCGGUUUUCCCUCUAAUGGAGUAAACUUCAGAGUCAUUCCAAGCUGGUUGGCAUACCUCAACAUUUCUUUCACCUUGCUUCUUUCUCUCGUGUUAUUUGCUAGUAAUGAUGGAAUCCUUUGGGUUUGAGCCAAAGAAAAAAUCUGAGAAACAA